AUUGAACGCUGGCGGCAUGCUUUACACAUGCAAGUCGGACGGCAGCACAGAGGCGCUUGCUUCUUGGGUGGCGAGUGGCGAACGGGUGAGUAACGCAUCGGAACGUACCGAGUAAUGGGGGAUAACUGUCCGAAAGGACAGCUAAUACCGCAUACGCCCUGAGGGGGAAAGCGGGGGAUCUUAGGACCUCGCGUUAUUCGAGCGGCCGAUGUCUGAUUAGCUGGUUGGCGGGGUAAAGGCCCACCAAGGCGACGAUCAGUAGCGGGUCUGAGAGGAUGAUCCGCCACGCUGGGACUGAGACACGGCCCAGACCCCUACGGGAGGCAGCAGUGGGGAAUUUUGGACAAGGGGCGCAAGCCUGAUCCAGCCAUGCCGCGUGUCUGAAGAAGGCCUUCGGGGUGUAAAGGACUUUUGUCAGGGAAGAAAGGGGCAUGUUAAUACCGUGCUGUGAUGACGGUACCUGAAGAAUAAGCACCGGCUAACUACGU
rnacentral:rRNA from 1 species